GUUGUUGGGUAGGGGAGCGUUCUGUAAGCCGUUGAAGGUGACCUGUGAGGGUUGCUGGAGGUAUCAGAAGUGCGAAUGCUGACAUAAGUAACGAUAAUGCGGGUGAAAAACCCGCACGCCGGAAGACCAAGGGUUCCUGUCCAACGUUAAUCGGGGCAGGGUGAGUCGACCCCUAAGGCGAGGCUGAAAAGCGUAGUCGAUGGGAAACAGGUUAAUAUUCCUGUACUUGGUGUUACUGCGAAGGGGGGACGGAGAAGGCUAGGCUGGCCGGGCGACGGUUGUCCCGGUUUAAGCGUGUAGGGGGAGUGACCAGGUAAAUCCGGUUGCUUAUCAACCCUGAGGCGUGAUGACGAUGCACCACGGUGCAGAAGCAGUUGAUGCCAUGCUUCCAGGAAAAGCCUCUAAGCAUCAGGUAACAUUAAAUCGUACCCCAAACCGACACAGGUGGUCAGGUAGAGAAUACUCAGGCGCUUGAGAGAACUCGGGUGAAGGAACUAGGCAAAAUGGUGCCGUAACUUCGGGAGAAGGCACGCUGGCGUUAGGUGAAAGGACUAGCUCCUGGAGCUGAAGCCAGUCGCAGAUACCAGCUGGCUGCAACUGUUUAAUAAAAACACAGCACUGUGCAAACACGAAAGUGGACGUAUACGGUGUGACGCCUGCCCGGUGCUGGAAGGUUAAUUGAUGGGGUCAGCCGCAAGGCGAAGCUCUUGAUCGAAGCCCCAGUAAACGGCGGCCGUAACUAUAACGGUCCUAAGGUAGCGAAAUUCCUUGUCGGGUAAGUUCCGACCUGCACGAAUGGCGUAAUGAUGGCCAGGCUGUCUCCACCCGAGACUCAGUGAAAUUGAACUCGCUGUGAAGAUGCAGUGUACCCGCGGCAAGACGGAAAGACCCCGUGAACCUUUACUAUAGCUUGACACUGAACAUUGAGCCUUGAUGUGUAGGAUAGGUGGGAGGCCUUGAAGUGUGGACGCCAGUCUGCAUGGAGCCAACCUUGAAAUACCACCCUUUAAUGUUUGAUGUUCUAACUCGGCCCCAUGAUCUGGGGUGAGGACAGUGUCUGGUGGGUAGUUUGACUGGGGCGGUCUCCUCCCAAAGAGUAACGGAGGAGCACGAAGGUUAGCUAAUCACGGUCGGACAUCGUGAGGUUAGUGCAAAGGCAUAAGCUAGCUUGACUGCGAGAGUGACGGCUCGAGCAGGUACGAAAGUAGGUCUUAGUGAUCCGGUGGUUCUGAAUGGAAGGGCCAUCGCUCAACGGAUAAAAGGUACUCCGGGGAUAACAGGCUGAUACCGCCCAAGAGUUCAUAUCGACGGCGGUGUUUGGCACCUCGAUGUCGGCUCAUCACAUCCUGGGGCUGAAGUAGGUCCCAAGGGUAUGGCUGUUCGCCAUUUAAAGUGGUACGCGAGCUGGGUUUAGAACGUCGUGAGACAGUUCGGUCCCUAUCUGCCGUGGGCGUUGGAAGAUUGAGAGGGGCUGCUCCUAGUACGAGAGGACCGGAGUGGACGAAUCACUGGUGUUCGGGUUGUCAUGCCAAUGGCAUUGCCCGGUAGCUAAAUUCGGAAGAGAUAACCGCUGAAAGCAUCUAAGCGGGAAACUUGCCUCGAGAUGAGUCUUCCCUGGGACUUAAAGUCCCCUGAAGGAACGUUAAAGACUAUGACGUUGAUAGGCUGGGUGUGUAAGUGCAGCGAUGUAUUGAGCUAACCAGUACUAAUGAUCCGUGAGGCUUAACCUU
rnacentral:rRNA from 3 species